UACGAGGGGGGCGAGCGUUGUUCGGAAUUACUGGGCGUAAAGCGUGCGUAGGCGGUUUGUUAAGUCCGCUGUGAAAGCCCUGGGCUCAACCUGGGAAUUGCAGUGGAUACUGGCAAGCUAGAGUGCGGUAGAGGAUGGUGGAAUUCCCGGUGGAGCGGUGAAAUGCGUAGAGAUCGGGAAGAACGCCGGCGGCGAAAGCGACUCUCUGGUCGGACCCUGACGCUGAGGCGCGAAAGCUAGGGAGCAAACGGG
rnacentral:rRNA from 1 species